rnacentral:misc_RNA from 1 species
UUUUUUUUUUAUCUUAUUUUAAUACGAUAUCUAUCAUUUACCAAAUCUCUGGUUCACUUCUUUUACUUGUCCAAACCUUUUGGAUUGAGAACUAUUUGAUAUUCUGGCUUUAGAGGUUGCAUUUGUAUUUGCAACGACAUAUUCUAUUACAUAUGUAUACGGACAAAUGGAUGCCGAAGCUGUUACUAGUAUUGUUCAUGACAUUUCUUUUUUUCCUUUGGGCAAGUGAUAG